GAGAGUAGACGUAGGUGGUUGCAGAUUGGUGAUUAACACCGGUUUGAGGAAAGUCCGGGCUCCCGAAAGACCAAACUUGCUGGAUAACGUCCAGUACGAGCGAUCGUGAGGAAAGUGCCACAGAAAAAUACCGCCAGUUUUCAGAAUGCUAAUUCUAGAGUUGGUAAGGGUGCAAAGGUGCGGUAAGAGCGCACCAGCAGUAUCGAGAGGUACUGGCUCGGUAAACCCCGGUUGGGAGCAAGGCCAGAGAAACUAUGGUUGGUCUUUUACCAGUUUCGGCAAAUUAGAGCCGCUUGAGGUAGUUGGUAACAACUAUCCCAGACAGAUAACUACCCUCGCAAGAGAACAGAACCCGGCUUAUGUGCUGCUCUCUCUU
rnacentral:RNase_P_RNA from 18 species